rnacentral:rRNA from 1 species
GACGAACGCUGGCGGCGCGCUUAACACAUGCAAGUCGAGCGAAGCGGCGGACGGGUGAGUAACACGUGAGUAACCUGCCUUAGACAUUGGGAUAGCCUCGGGAAACCGGGAUUAAUACCAAAUGGUCUAAGAUGGACUAUGGUCCCAUUAGCUAGGUGGUGAGGUAACGGCCCACCAAGGCGACGAUGGGUAGCCGGCCUGAUAUGGUGAACGGCGACUUUGGCACGGAGAAACGGUCCAGACUCUACGGGAGGCAGCAGUGGGGAAUAUUGCACACUGGAGGGAACUCUGAUGCAGCGACGCCGCGUGAACGAAGAAGGCUUUCGAGUCGUAGAGUUCUUUUAUAUGGGAAGCGGUACCAUAAGAAAAAGCCCCGGCUAACUACGUGCCAGCAGCCGCGGUAAUUC